GACGAACCGUGCGAACGUUGUUCGGAAUCACUGGGCUUAAAGGGAGCGUAGGCGGGCUAUCAAGUCUGGGAUGAAAUGCCGCGGCUCAACCGUGGAACUGCCUCAGAUACUGACGGCCUCGAGGGAGAUAGGGGCAUGCGGAACUGUAGGUGGAGCGGUGAAAUGCGUUGAUAUCUACAGGAACUCCGGUGGCGAAAGCGGCGUGCUGGAUCUCUUCUGACGCUGAGGCUCGAAAGCUAGGGGAGCAAACGGG
rnacentral:rRNA from 1 species